rnacentral:lncRNA from 1 species
GGAACACCUCGAACGAAGUUGUCAAGUUACUCCGCAGUUUUUCGGGUUUUCUGGUUUUAGCAAUUUUUAUUGAUUCUUAGCUGUAGGUUUUCAUUUGUUUGCUUUUUAUUCUCCCUUUACAAUAUCUAACACCUUCUUGUUUCUUGUGUUAGUAGGAUUUAAACGUGUGCACAAUCCUUCCUCGGUGCAACACGAAUCAAUUGGUGUCUCGUCAGUCUUUGGCAUCCUAGUGCAAAUUAGGAUUAUUUGGUAGUCCGGUUCAUACACUCUCUAAUUGGUUGAUAUAAACUCUACUAAAGCACUCACAAGACUGAAUUCUACCUC